rnacentral:rRNA from 1 species
UGGGGAAUAUUGCACAAUGGGGGAAACCCUGAUGCAGCGACGCCGCGUGGAGGAAGAAGGUCUUCGGAUUGUAAACUCCUGUUGUUGGGGAAAAUAAGGAUGGUACCCAACAAGGAAGUGACGGCUAACUACGUGCCAGCAGCCGCGGUAAAACGUAGGUCACAAGCGUUGUCCGGAAUUACUGGGUGUAAAGGGAGCGCAGGCGGGUAUGCAAGUUGGAAGUGAAAUCAUGGGCUCAACCCAUGAACUGCUCUCAAAACUGUGUAUCUUGAGUAGUGCAGAGGUAGGCGGAAUUCCCGGUGUAGCGGUGGAAUGCGUAGAUAUCGGGAGGAACACCAGU